rnacentral:rRNA from 1 species
UACGGGGGGGGCAAGCGUUGUUCGGAAUUACUGGGCGUAAAGGGCUCGUAGGCGGCCAACUAAGUCAGACGUGAAAUCCCUCGGCUUAACCGGGGAACUGCGUCUGAUACUGGAUGGCUUGAGUUUGGGAGAGGGAUGCGGAAUUCCAGGUGUAGCGGUGAAAUGCGUAGAUAUCUGGAGGAACACCGGUGGCGAAGGCGACUACCUGGCCUGUUCUUGACGCUGAGGCGCGAAAGCUAGGGGAGCAAACGGG